CUACAACCUAUGGCCGAAUCGGGAGCUUUGAGCAACGACAGCGGGAGGAGUUUCGUCUGCUAAUUCCCUAACCUCUCGAACUGUCAGUCUCUGUGGAACGUACUUAUGUAGAAAAAUCAGAGCAACUAAAUUUCUUACGAAUUUCUGAUAUCUUUAUUACCUUCUGUUAUUCACGUUCGAAUACACUGGAACUACUUCGACGAUUAUUCUAGUUCUGAAACGGACAAUCGGAGAUUCGUGAAGCCUGAAAAUGACAUCUAUAUUCGAUCAGUACGAGCAAGAUUCUCAGAGGUCAAAACAUCCUGUGGCUCCGUCUAUCAGGCCUGAUAUCAGCACGACUGGAUUCAUUCACAUGAAGCUUCGGGAUGAUGGUCCCAUAUUCACCAAACAGAAGGUGAAUUUCUUGCCCUCGGACGAUAUCACGCAUCUCGCAGUCAGCAGCAACUUGAUUGUCAUCGCCAUGGCCAACAACGUUCUAUUACGCAUAGACAUGAAGCACCCAGACAAACCUGAGGACAUCGACAUCUCAAAGUACUCGGCGAACAUGAAAUUGUCCGGUCUUUUUCUGGAUCCCCUUGGAUAUCAUCUGCUACUCGCAAUGGUUCCUAGCAAAGGGGAGACUCCGCCUGCAGAGCUCUUCUAUCUACACAGAAAAACGACAAAACUUAAGCAGGCUGGAAAAUUCAGAGGUCAUGAGAUCACUGCUGUAGGAUGGAAUUUCGCCAACACUUCAGAGACCACCUCGGGUCCUAUACUGCUCGGAACGUCAAAGGGGCUGAUUUUUGAGACUGAAAUCGCGCUUGAUGGUGACAAGAUAUUUAACACGAGCCUGGAGCAGUAUUGGAGGCAGCUUCCCAAUUAUCUGCCUCUCUACGGCAGUAAAGAGGUAGACGGACUCGUAUUCGACAUAGGCGAGGAGAGUAAGCCGCCCAUCACAGGUCUGGAGUUUCAUAGAUUGGGAAACAGUGACAGAUACGUAGUGGUGGUUACAACUCUGAUCAGGAUUUACCAGUACAUUGGCUCCGUCACUACUUUGGACGAGAAGCCGCUGCUUCAGCAGAUUUUCAACAGAUAUUUAAACGCCAAGGAGAGAUUCAAUCAGUUGGACAGCACCCUGCCUUAUUCAAAAAUGCAGUUCUAUUACUCGGAACCCAAACAGCUGCCAAAGUCUUUUGGCUGGUUGACUGAAACCGGUAUAGUAUACGCUCAGAUCGAUCCCAACGUCGACCCGAAAAACGUGUUGGUGAAUAAAAAGGUGAUAACGUGUCCGGAAACGAGUCUGAUUGGUGGAAACAUUUCGCAUUCAUCGGAAAGGCCGCUAUCGUUUGUGCUGACCGAAUUUCAUACGCUGCUUUUGUACUCGGACCGCGUCAAGGGACUUUGCCUUCUCAACCAAGAGCUGAUCUUUGAAGACAUCUACAACGAUGCAUUCGGCAAGCUCGUCAACAUAACUAAGGAUCCCAUGACAGGCUCUAUAUGGGCCUUUAGCGAACGCGCCGUCUUCAAAUACAAAGUCACCAAGGAGGACAGGAACGUUUGGCAGAUUUACGUCGACAAGGGUGAAUUCGAUCUGGCCAAGAAAUACUGUAAGGAUAACCCGGCGCACAUCGAUCACGUGCUCGUAAAACAGGCGGAAAUGUUAUUUGGAAACAAGGAAUACGAUCAGAGUGCGAUCAUUUACGCCGACACGCACUCGUCGUUUGAGGAGGUGUCAUUGAAAUUUUUGCAGGAGUGGCAAAUCGAGGCAUUGAAAACGUUUCUGAAAAAGAAAUUAGAGGGACUCAAACCGCAGGAUAAAACUCAGGUGACAAUGAUAGUCAUCUGGGUUGUGGAACUAUUCAUGAACCAAAUGGGUGCUCUGAGAGGCGACCACACUUCGCAUCUCCAUAAUCCGCGAUAUCAAGAACUGCAGAAACAGUUUGAUAGCUUUUUGGCAAUACCGAAAGUUGAGGAGUGCAUCCGAAUGCACAAAAGCUCGAUAUACGACUUGAUGGCGAGCCAUGGAGACAAGGAGAACUUGAUUCGCCUGACGAUAAUGCACCGCAACUACGAGGAAGUAAUACGCCAGCAUCUGUACAAAAACAACUACAUGGAGGCUCUGAACGUUCUGAAAAGUCAGGGGAACAGAGAAUUGUUCUAUCAAUUCGCAGGCACGCUCUUGCAGGAGCUUCCGAAACCCACUGCACUCGCGCUCAUCUCUCAAGGCUCGAUGCUCAAGCCGUCCAAGCUUCUGCCUGCUCUGGUCUCCUGCAACAACGACGAGAAACACGCCCAGGAAGUGAUUCGCUACCUGGAAUUCUGCAUCUACAAACAAGGAUGCCAGGAGCAGGCGAUCCACAAUUACCUUCUGUCUCUGUACACACGCUACAAGCCAGACGAGGUGCUGCGAUACAUCAGUUCCCAAGGUCAAGAUAUCGGCAUGGUUCCGUACGACGUUCAUUUUGCACUGCGGCUCUGUCAGGAGGUGAAACUAACCAAGGCCUGUGUCCAGCUAUCGGCGCUGCUUGGGCUCUGGACGGCAGCGGUUGACUUGGCGUUGACAAUAAGCGUCGAUUUGGCCAAGCAGAUCGCCUCUAUGCCUUCGCAGAACGACGACGAGCUAAGGAAGAAGCUUUGGCUAAAAAUAGCUGAGCAUGUGGUGAGAGAGCGGGAUGAUAUCAAACAGGCAAUGGAGUUUCUGCAGCAGUGCGAUUUGGUCAGAAUCGAAGACAUUCUUCCGUUUUUCUCGGAUUUCGUAACCAUCGAUCAUUUCAAAGACGCCAUCUGCAACUCUUUACAGGAGUAUAAUCAACACAUCCAAGAUCUCAAGGAGGAGAUGGAAGAGGGGACCAAGGCAGCGGAGCUGAUCAGGAAAGAUAUACAGUCGUUUAGAAACAGAUGCAUUUUCAUCCCGGCCAAGGACACCUGCAACACUUGCGAUGUUCAGCUGCUGCUCAGGUCGUUUUAUGUAUUUCCCUGUGGCCACAGAUUCCACAGCGAUUGUCUUGUCGCCGCCCUCAUUCCCAUGCUCUCCAUGGAGCAGAGAACGAAGCUCGCCGAUCUCCAGCGUCAGUUAACCACCGUUUCUGGGAAAGCGGAGGACACAAAUUCCAUCGGCUCAGUUUCCCUGUCCACCAAAGAUCAGAUCAAAGCUGACAUCGACGAUCUUAUCGCUUCCGAGUGCAUCUACUGCGGAGAGCUGAUGAUCGAAUCGAUAGACAAGCCGUUCAUCGAGGAGGAAGAUUACGAGAGAGUGAUGAAAGAGUGGGACUGAAUGACAAUGUGGAUAAUCAAAGGAGUCGUAUUCUUGAUUCUCUACAACAACUAGCGGAAAUGAUUUUUUAAAUACUCCGAAGCGAGAUUGGAAUCGAAGUGAAGAGCAGGUCAGUGUAUUUAAACAACAAAGCUUCUGAUCACUGGCUUGUUAUUUGUACAGGAUUGUUCACAGCAGCAAUAAAGAUCCGAAGAGGGUCGUG
rnacentral:misc_RNA from 1 species